GACGAACGCUGGCGGCGUGCUAAACACAUGCAAGUCGAACGGAAAGGCCCUUUCGGGGGUACUCGAGUGGCGAACGGGUGAGUAACACGUGGGCAACCUGCCCUCAGCUCUGGGAUAACUCCGGGAAACCGGGGCUAAUACUGGAUAUUCACUGCUCAUCGCAUGGUGGGUGGUGGAAAGUUUUUCGGCUGGGGAUGGGCCCGCGGCCUAUCAGCUUGUUGGUGGGGUGAUGGCCUACCAAGGCGACGACGGGUAGCCGGCCUGAGAGGGCGACCGGCCACACUGGGACUGAGACACGGCCCAGACUCCUACGGGAGGCAGUAGUGGGGAAUAUUGCGCAAUGGGCGGAGGCCUGACGACGCAACGCCGCGUGGAGGAUGAAGAUCUUCGGGUCGUAAACUCCUUUCGAUCGAGACGAACGGCUUCCGGGUGAACAAUCCGGGAGAGUGACGGUACCGAGAGAAGAAGCCCCGGCUAACUC
rnacentral:rRNA from 1 species